rnacentral:rRNA from 1 species
GAGUUUGAUCAUGGCUCAGGAUGAACGCUAGCGGCAGGCUUAAUACAUAGCAAGUCGAGGGGCAUCAGCUUAUAGCAAUAUAGGGCUGGCGACCGGCAAACGGGUGCGGAACACGUACACAACCUUCCUUUAAGAGGGGGAUAGCCCAUAGAAAUGUGGAUUAAUACCCCGUAAGAUAGUGGGAUGGCAUCAUACUACUAUUAUAGUUACGACGCUUGAAGAUGGGUGUGCGUCUGAUUAGGUAGUUGGCGGGGUAAAGGCCCACCCAAGCCUUCGAUCAGUAGCUGAUGUGAGAGCAUGAUCAGCCACACGGGCACUGAGACACGGGCCCGACUCCUACGGGAGCAGCAGUAAGGAAUAUUGGUCAAUGA